rnacentral:rRNA from 1 species
CCUACGGGGGGCAGCAGUGGGGAAUAUUGGACAAUGGGGGCAACCCUGAUCCAGCCAUGCCGCGUGUGUGAAGAAGGCCCUCGGGUUGUAAAGCACUUUCAGUGAGGAAGAACGCCUGGUGGUUAAUACCCAUCAGGAAAGACAUCACUCACAGAAGAAGCACCGGCUAACUCCGUGCCAGCAGCCGCGGUAAUACGGAGGGUGCGAGCGUUAAUCGGAAUUACUGGGCGUAAAGCGCGCGUAGGUGGCUUGAUAAGCCGGUUGUGAAAGCCCCGGGCUCAACCUGGGAACGGCAUCCGGAACUGUCAAGCUAGAGAGCAGGAGAGGAAGGUAGAAGUCCCGGUGUAGCGGUGAAAUGCGUAGAGAUCGGGAGGAAUACCAGUGGCGAAGGCGGCCUUCUGGACUGACACUGACACUGAGGUGCGAAAGCGUGGGUAGCAAACAGGAUUAGAUACCCUGGUAGUC